GAUGAACGCUGGCGGCGUGCCUAAUACAUGCAAGUCGAGCGAACAGAUGAGGAGCUUACUCCUCUCACGUGACCGACGGACGAGUGAGUAACACGUGGAUAACCUACCUAUAAGGCUUAAAUCACGUCGGCAAACCGUAGCUAAUACCGGAUGAUAUAUUUAACCUCAUGGUUCAAUAGUUAAUGACGGUUUUGCUUUCACUUAUAGAUGGAUCCGUUCUGCAUUAGGUAGUUGGUAACGUAACGGCUUACCAAGGCAGCGAUGGGUAGCCGACGCGAGAGGGUGUAGGGCCACACUGGGACUGAGAGACGGCACAGACUCCUACGGGAGGCAGCAGUAGGGAAUCGUGCGAGAUGGGCGAAAGCCUGACCGAGCAACGCCGCGUGAAUGAUGAAGGGCCGCGGAUCGUAAAACUGUGUUAUUAGGGAAGACCCAUUGUGUAAGUAACUAUGCUCGUCUUGACGGUACCUAAUCAGAAAGCACCGGCUAACUACGUG
rnacentral:rRNA from 1 species